rnacentral:rRNA from 1 species
UACGGGGGGGGCAAGCGUUGUUCGGAAUUACUGGGCGUAAAGGGUUCGUAGGUGGCCAACUUAGUCAGACGUGAAAUCCCUCAGCUUAACUGGGGAACUGCGUCUGAUACUGGAUGGCUCGAGUGCAGGAGAGGAACGCGGAAUUCCAGGUGUAGCGGUGAAAUGCGCAGAUAUCAGGAGGAACACCGAUGGCGAAGGCAGGUCUCUGGGCAUUAACUGACGCUGAGGAGCGAAAGCAUGGGGAGCGAACAGG